rnacentral:rRNA from 1 species
UGCGUAGGCGGCGUAAUAAGUCAGUGGUGAAAGCCGGCAGCUCAACUGUCGAGGUGCCAUUGAUACUGUUAUACUUGAGUACAGACGAGGUAGGCGGAAUUUAUGAUGUAGCGGUGAAAUGCAUAGAUAUCAUAAAGAACACCUAUAGCGAAGGCAGCUUACUAGGCUGUAACUGACGCUGAGGCACGAAAGCGUGGGGAGCGAACAGGAUUAGAUACCCUGGUAGUCC